rnacentral:rRNA from 1 species
AUUGAACGCUGGCGGCAGGCUUAACACAUGCAAGUCGAACGAGUGGCGGACGGGUGAGUAAUGCUUGGGAAUCUUGCUUAUGGAGGGGGAUAACUACGGGGAACUGUAGCUAAUACCGCGUACCAGAGGAUGAGCCCAAGUGGGAGUAGGUAGUUGGUGAGGUAACGGCUCACAAGGCCGACGAUCUCUAGCUGGUCUGAGAGGAUGACCAGCCACACGGGGACUGAGACACGGCCCAGACUCCUACGGGAGGCAGCAGUGGGGAAUAUUGCGCAAUGGGGGCAACCCGGACGCAGCCAGGCCGCGUGAAUGAAGAAGGCCUUCGGGUUGUAAAGUACUUUCAGCGGGGAGGCGUUACCCGCAGAAGAAGCACCGGCUAACUCCGUGCCAGCAGCCGCGGUAAUUC